rnacentral:rRNA from 1 species
UACGAGGGGUGCAAGCGUUGCUCGGAAUUAUUGGGCGUAAAGGGUAUGUAGGUGGUCUUAUUUGUCUGGGGUGAAAGCCUUGGGCUUAACUCAAGAAGUGCCCCAGAAACGGUAAGACUCGAGUCCUGGAGAGGGUCGUGGAAUUCCCGGUGUAGCGGUGAAAUGCGUAGAGAUCGGGAGGAACACCAGAGGCGAAAGCGGCCACCUGGGCUGUACCUGACGCUCAAACACGAAAGCUAGGGGAGCGAACGGG